GCUCACAUUUCCAGAGGCUGACUUCCUCAUACCAGCCGGCAAAGACUCUCUCUUUUACAGGGCUCAUGUGAUUAAGUCAGGCCCAUCCAGAUAAUCUCCCAUCUUAAGAUCAAUUGUUUUGUGACCUUAAUUGCAUCUGCAAAAUCUCUUCACAGCAGUCCUUAGAUUAGUGUUUGAUUGAAUACCUGGGAGAAGGUGUGUGCAGCAGGUGCCAAGAAUGUUGGUGGGCCAUCAGAAUUCUUCCUACCACAGAGGGCAUGGUGGUACCUGUCCAAAGGCAAGAGUGAUGCUUCUUUUCUUCCUUGAGAAACGCUGCCACCCAGCACAGAAGAUUCAAAGACCCAGAUAGAUGGUUUUUAUUAGUGUGAGCCCAACUCCUAACUCAUAUUUUUAUAUUUUAAUCUCUAUAGCCUAAACCAUCUGGACUUGGAUGUGAAAUUGACGUGAUCAUACAAACAUAUUUCUGAGAAAGAGUUCAUAAGUUUCAUCAGAUUCACAAAGGGAUCUUCCACCCCAUCAUGAUCCUAUUACUCCCACCAGAAUACAGUCACCCUGGUGGCAGGAGCUCCGCUCGCCGUCCUCUUCCCUUACGCUCGUCACUAAAAGUCCUCAGACCCAAGGAUAAUCGUCAUCUCCUUCCAGCCCUAAUCCUGCAUCCUAAGGGUAAAUAUUGCCUUCACCUUUUGGCCUUUGUCUUUUCUUUUUAAUGGAAGGAAAAGUAGCCUGUUUGACUUUGCCCCGAUCAAUAGCACAGUGCGUGCAACUCCAAGGCAG
rnacentral:lncRNA from 1 species